CUCGUCUCUUGUCGUUCCUCUAUUGAAGGUAAGUCUCCUUUUCCAAUUUCAUUACAAAUUUUCAUUGUAAAUUUCGUUGCACCUUAGUUGUCUCUCAGUAAAAUCUCAGCCCUUCAACAAGUGAUCACCGCCUUUGUUUCCUUGUUUGCCUCCUUUCCUUUUUUUUUUUUAACUGAAGGUUUGGUUUCUAUUUUUUUGGACAUUCCAUAGUAGGGUACUUGCACCUUGUGCUAUCCAUUACUUCUGUUUUCUCUUACAGGGCUAGGGUUUGUGUUGCAAAACGAGGGUUUUCUCAAUGUUCUUAUUCUCCCUCUUCCCAUUGUCUUUUCUUUCUGGGAUAUGCCCUUUGUUGUUUGCUUUAUGCAGUCCUCGUUGUUGAGGGUUUGUACUAAAAAAAAAGAAUUUUGGGGUUUUCCAUAGUAUGUCUUUCUUGGAGUUGGUUUGGAAGGCAUUACCUUGAUUAUGUUGGCGUCGAGACAGUUAGAUUCAGAUGAUUGAACGCCUCCAUAAAAGGAGCAGCUUCUAACCAAGCACCGUCCUCGCCGGCAUAAUUUCAGCUGUCGGAAUCUUAGAAGAAUUAAAAAAAAAUAGAGGAUCGUGGUUAAAACCCUUUCUCUCAAUAAACCCCGCCCCAAAAAAUAUUUGACUGCAACUUCCACGGCCUUUGUCCUUUGGUUGGUUCAUAUUGAGGUCUCAUCCAUCCUUUUUUUUUUUCUUUUGCUCCGAAUCAGGAGCAGCACCUCGUACGAUGGUUAAAUGCGACUAGGGAUUGCUCCCCUUUGAUGCUGGACCCUUGAUGAGCCGAAUCUGAAAAUGGCAUCUGAAAACGAUCAAUCUGCAUCAUCUUCAAAACAACCAUCGAGUCGUAUUUUGACUAUCUGAUUGUCUCUCUAUCGGGUCGUGUUUCGACUCUCUGAUAUGUUUUGGAUCUUAUUGUUUCAUCUCUGAAUCUAAGGUCCAACUGUGCUUGUUGAUCCGCUGUUGAUUUUUGUUGGCUCUUCUAAGUGCCUCCUGUUUGAUGAUCAAAUUUUUCGAUCCUGAUUAACGAUCAAGUUUUUCGAUACGUUAUCCCAUUUGAUGAUCAAGUUUUCCGUUACUCGAUCAUGUUUAAUAAUUAAGUUUUCCGUUACUCAAUCAUAUUGGAUGAUGGGGUUUUCCGUUACUCCAUCCCAUGUGAUGAUCGAGUUUUUUUUUUUUCGUUACUCUAUCUUGUAUAUUCCGGAGGCCCAUUGAUUUGCUGUUAUGUGAGACUGCUUUGUUCGAGGCAUGCCCAAUUAUAUAGAAAUAUAGUUUUUAACAUGGACAUGCUAGGUCCGUGACGGUAAAAAAUUCACGUGGACCGCAACAAACCGUGAGUUGUCGAUUGCGAGUCCAUUCAAUGAACCACUACGAACAUAGGAAGUUUGUGGCGUGGGGAAACACUGUAGCACUUUCGCGUAUAUAAUUAUCGGAUAGAUGGUAUGACUAUUUCAUAAUCCAAGGAAUUUGAUAUAAUGCUAUGAAAUACAUAUGGAGAUCUAUUUUUGGAUUAUUAUUAUUGUAUUCCAUAAAUUUUCUCUGAGAUAUUUGCAUAUGGGAUGGUAAUAUUUCCGUCUUAGAUCCCCAUAACUGAAACCAAUUCUUGAACCAGUUUGGAAAUUCUCCUAUUACUGGUAUUUUUAUUUGUAUAAACCAAGUAUGAGAAUUCAUAUCAUUUUGAAAAGUAAAUACUUCGUGCCAUGCCUUAAUAUAUUCAAAAUAUUGAUAAUAUUUAUCAUUAAACCCUUCAGCUUGUAUUCUUCGGGGUUUUAGAGGAUCAAUACCCCAUUCUUUGUAUGAAAUUAUCUUUCGUAUCUGAAAUUUAGAAUAUGCUAUUGUAUUGGUAUUCUUUUUAUAAAAAUGGACCAUGGUUAUUGAUCUUGUCUCGAUGAAAAUGGUGUCAUACCACUCUCUAUUUUUCUCUCUAUUAUUGGGAUGUAAAUGAUUUCUUAGGUAUUUCGUGGUUAUUUUGGCAGGAUCUUUAUCUUUGUGGUCAUCUUCUACUAUAGUAAUGGUUAUAAAGGAGGUUUCUAAGAAUCUACUCUUUUCACUUGGAGUAUUUAUGGCUAAGGGUACAGGUUCAGGUGAAAAAGUUAUUUCUUGGGUUCGUUUGGAUUCGACUUUUGGUGAUGAUGAGGAUGCCAAGACUUUACUUGGAACAGGGCCUAUUUCCAUAGGCCCUUUCUUUGAGAGACUCUUCUGGCCCUCCCUGUAAAAAUUCGCAGGUCAAAAAGUCAGGAAGGUAG
rnacentral:lncRNA from 1 species